rnacentral:rRNA from 1 species
AGAGUUUGAUCCUGGCUCAGGAUAAACGCUGGCGGCGCACAUAAGACAUGCAAGUCGAACGAACUUAACUCAUUCUUUUAGUUUGAGAGCGGUUAGUGGCGGACUGGUGAGUAACACGUAAGCAACCUGCCUAUUAGAGGGGAAUAACAGUGAGAAAUCAUUGCUAAUACCGCAUAUGCUAACAGUAUCGCAUGAUACAGUUAGGAAAGGAGUAAUCCGCUAAUAGAUGGGCUUGCGCCUGAUUAGCUAGUUGGUGGGGCAAUGGCCUACCAAGGCGACGAUCAGUAGCCGGACUGAGAGGUUGAACGGCCACAUUGGGACUGAGAUACGGCCCAGACUCCUACGGGAGGCAGCAGUCGGGAAUAUUGCGCAAUGGAGGAAACUCUGACGCAGUGACGCCGCGUAUAGGAAGAAGGUUUUCGGAUUGUAAACUAUUGUCGUUAGGGAAGAUACAAGACAGUACCUAAGGAGGAAGCCCCGGCUAACUAUGUGCCAGCAGCCGCGGUAAUACAUAGGGGGCAAGCGUUAUCCGGAAUUAUUGGGUGUAAAGGGUGCGUAGACGGAGGAGCAAGUUGGUUGUGAAAUCCCUCGGCUUAACUGAGGAACUGCAACCAAAACUACUUCCCUUGAGUGUCGGAGAGGAAAGUGGAAUUCCUAGUGUAGCGGUGAAAUGCGUAGAUAUUAGGAGGAACACCAGUGGCGAAGGCGACUUUCUGGACGAUAACUGACGUUGAGGCACGAAAGUGUGGGGAGCAAACAGGAUUAGAUACCCUGGUAGUCCACACCGUAACGAUGGAUAC